AGCGAACGUUAGCGGCGCGCCUAACACAUGCAAGUCGCACGAGAAAGGGAGCAAUCCCCGGUACAGUGGCGCACGGGUGAGUAACACGUAGAUGACCUUCCCUGGAGUGGUGGAUAACCUGCCGAAAGGCGGGCUAAUACAGCAUGGGACCACAUGGUUUUUGACCGAGUGGUGAAAGCGGGCCUCUGUUCACAAGCUCGCGCUCUGGGAUGGGUCUGCGUCCCAUCAGCUAGUUGGUGAGGUAAUGGCUCACCAAGGCAUCGACGGGUAGCUGGUCUGAGAGGAUGACCAGCCACACUGGAACUGAGACACGGUCCAGACUCCUACGGGAGGCAGCAGUGGGGAAUCUUGCGCAAUGGGCGAAAGCCUGACGCAGCGACGCCGCGUGGGUGAUGAAGGCCUCGGUUGUAAGUACGUCUGUGGUAGGAGGGACGGAAAACCCGUACGGUUUA
rnacentral:rRNA from 1 species